CAGCCGCGGUAAUACGUAGGGUGCAAGCGUUAAUCGGAAUUACUGGGCGUAAAGCGUGCGCAGGCGGUUUGUUAAGACAGAUGUGAAAUCCCCGGGCUCAACCUGGGAACUGCAUUUGUGACUGGCAGGCUAGAGUAUGGCAGAGGGGGGUGGAAUUCCGCGUGUAGCAGUGAAAUGCGUAGAUAUGCGGAGGAACACCGAUGGCGAAGGCAGCCACCUGGGCCAAUACUGACGCUCAUGCACGAAAGCGUGGGGAGCAAACAGGAUUAGAUACCCCUGUAGUCCCUGUCUCUUAUACACA
rnacentral:rRNA from 1 species